rnacentral:rRNA from 1 species
UGCAAGUCGAGCGGUAUGUGCUUUAGUGCAUACAGCGGCAGACGGGUGAGUAACACGUAUCUAACCUUCCCCUUACUUGGGCAUAGCCUCUGGAAACGGAGAUUAAUUUCCGAUGUGGUGUACAUUUCGCAUGUUUUGCGCACCAAAGAUUUAUCGGUAAGGGAUGGGGAUGCGCUCCAUUAGGUUGUAGGUAGGGUAAUGGCCUACCUAGCCUAUGAUGGAUAGGGGUUCUGAGAGGAAGGUCCCCCACAUUGGAACUGCGACACGGUCCAAACUCCUACGGGAGGCAGCAGUGAGGAAUAUUGGUCAAUGGCCGGAAGGCUGAACCAGCCAAGUAGCGUGCAGGAUGACUGCCUUAUGGGUUGUAAACUGCUUUUUUACGGGAAUAAUUAUGAUCACGUGUGAUUAUUUGCAUGUACCGUAAGAAUAAGGAUCGGCUAACUCCGUGCCAGCAGCCGCGGUAAUACGGAGGAUCCUAGUGUUAUCCGGAUUCAUUGGGUUUAAAGGGAGCGUAGGCGGGAGGUCAAGUCAGCUGUGAAAUGUAUCUGCUUAACGGGUACACUGCAGUUGAAACUGGUUUUCUUGAGUGCGUAAGAGGCAGGCGGAAUUCGUUGUGUAGCGGUGAAAUGCUUAGAUAUGACGAGGAACUCCUAUUGCGAAGGCAGCUUGCUGGGUCGUUACUGACGCUGAUGCUCGAAGGUGCGGGGAUCAAACAGGAUUAGAUACCCUGGUAGUCCGCACAGUAAACUAUGGAUACUCUCUGCCGGCGAUACAUUGUCG